rfam:Pseudoramibacter alactolyticus ATCC 23263 genomic scaffold SCAFFOLD1, whole genome shotgun sequence.
GGCCCGUUGGUCAAGCGGUUAAGACAUCGCCCUUUCACGGCGAUAACGGGAGUUCGAUUCUCCCACGGGUCA